rnacentral:rRNA from 1 species
GACGAACGCUGGCGGCGUGCUUAACACAUGCAAGUCGAACGCAAAGGCCCAACUUUUGUGGCGUGCUCGAGUGGAGAACGGGUGAGUAACACGUGAGUAACCUGUCUACGACUUUGGGAUAACUUCAGGAAACUGGGGCUAAUACCGGCUAGGAGCUACUGAUGCAUGGUGGGGGUUGGACAGCUUACGUGGCUGGGGAUGGUCUGGCGACGUAUUAGCUUGUUGGUGGGGUAGUGGCUUACCAAGGCGUCGACGGGUAGAUGGUCUGAGAGGGUGACCAGACACACUGGAACAGAGAAACGGUCCAGAGGCCUAAGGGAGGCAGCAGUGGGGAAUAUUGGACAAUGGGCGCAAGCCUGAUACAGCCAUACCGCGUGGGUGAAGAAGGCCUUCGGGUUGUAAAGCCGUUUUGUUGGGAAAGAAAAGCAGCAGGUUAAUACCCCGCUGUUCUGACGGUACCCAAAGAAUAAGCACCGGCUAACUUCGUG